UUUCUCAACGCUUCAACUGCUUUAUAUACAUUUAUUGAUCUGUUUGUUUCAUUGUACAAGUAUAAAUGAAUAAAUGGCAUUUGUGAGCAAUUUUCUUUUCUUUGGCAGUGAUAUGAAGACACUUUGUGAGGCAUUAACAAAAUCAGAACCGUACGGCUUCUGUAUUAAUCUCUACUUUGAACUAGCCCUUCCUGAUGGAUAUUCUUACUGUUGACAGCUACAUGGGGUAAAAAAACACCUUCAUGGAUCAUUUUUAAAAGACUUAUUUUGUUCUUCUAUCUUGUCAUUUCAUCCCAAAAUUUCCACUUUGAGUACCUGAAGAAAUCAGAAAAUACAACUCGGGAAUUUGCAUCUUAGUGAAACAGAGACUCCAAAACUAACACUGACUGAAUCAAAAUGAUGGCAGAGUUCAAACUGGUGGCUAGUUAUUGGAGUCUGUUCAGCAACAACUAACUGAACCUCAAUCCCAGUAAAUGGUUGAAGACAGAAGACUUACAGAUUUUAUAUCCAGCCCAUGAGGAUUUUGACUGAUUCCAUUGAGCAGGCUCAGGUGAAAAACUGAAGGGCCAAGACAAAGUCAGUGACUUGUCCAGGAUCACACAACCAGUCAUUAGCUCCGCUGAGAAGAAAAUACACAUCUCUUGAUGCCCAGAUGAGUGUUUCGUUUUUGUUCUUUAGCACUUCGAGUGCUUCUGUACAACAUACCAUUUGUAUUCUUUGAAACAAACUCUUCAGGUAUUUCCAGGUGUUUUUCACGUUUCUGACCUGAGAGAAAGUAUACCUAAUGGUAUAAGUAGAUUUAAAAUCUAUUUAAAAUUCUCAAAGUUUCUAAUGCUGUUCUUUCUUUAGUAACUACUUCAAAAUGUUAAUUGUCUGUCAGUCCUUUGAUUUGGAGAAUUGCUUAUGGGACCACCUAGAGGUUAUGAUAGGGAGAAGACAUUACACAUGAAAGCCAUCCGACAGUCUGAUAUUACAGAAUGAGCCAACAUUCCACCAGCAUCCGCUCAGAGUGAUAGCCCUGAAUACAAUGGAUAUUUAAUGUGCCUUAAGAAAUUUCACUUGAAAUGUUACUCCGAAUCCAAAUUAUCAUCAAAAUGGAAAAGAUAGAGAUUGCUAUAUUUCCUGUUAGACAUAAAGCCUUAAAUAAACUUUCUGAUUCUUUUAUGCAUGAA